rnacentral:misc_RNA from 1 species
AAAGUCUAAAUUCUACAUCUGUCAUUGGUGACAUCACAUUUUCUUUUUCUGGGAUUAGUUUUUUGAAAAUUAUAAUCAAUACUCAUUUCAGUGUACUGGUCACAUAAGAAAAAACCAGAUACUGUAGUGUCAGGAAAUUAGAAAAGGCGAAUAGGGGAAAAACCCACAAAUAUCAGUAAAGUAAGACUCUGGUAACGCACCUUAGAAGAUGAUGGUGGUAAAG